rnacentral:rRNA from 1 species
AGUAUCACGAUUUACGGUGUCUGCUGUGCUGAGUUGAUGUUCUUUGAGUCUCCCUGUGCGGAGGAGGUUCCUGAGGAGGCUGAGAGCUCGACCACGGGUGUGGUCAAAGUCACGAAAGGUGACGUUUCUGAGGCUCAGAUAAUCAAGCGACUCAGGGAGUUAGCUCCGGGGGACUUUCAGUGGGAGCUUAUUCGCCUUGAGGACAACAGCUAUAAGGUUGAGUUUCUGAAUGCCGAGGACUUGGAGCGGCUUCUCAGUUUUGGGAUGUGCAGAGUUCCUGGAACUGAGUGUAUUCUUGAGUUUCUUGAGUGGAAGAGAGUGGAGCCGCAGGGAAAACCACUCACUCAGGUUUGGUUGAGGUUCUCGGGAGUCCCAUCCAAACUGGUUCGGGAUGUUCGGGUUGCCGCAAGUUUGGGGAUUCUGGUUGGCAGA